AGUGAACGCUAGCGACAGGCCUAACACAUGCAAGUCGAGGGGCAGCACAAGGAGCAAUCUGAGGUGGCGACCGGCGCACGGGUGAGUAACACGUAUGCAACCUGCCUGUAAGCGGGGAAUAACCCGUUGAAAGACGGACUAAUACCGCAUAAUACUAAAUUACUGCAUGGUAAUUUAUUUAAACAUUUAUGGCUUACAGAUGGGCAUGCGCAUGAUUAGCUAGUUGGAGAGGUAACGGCUCCCCAAGGCAACGAUCAUUAGGGGUUCUGAGAGGAAGGUCCCCCACACUGGUACUGAGACACGGACCAGACUCCUACGGGAGGCAGCAGUGAGGAAUAUUGGUCAAUGGACGAGAGUCUGAACCAGCCAAGUCGCGUGCAGGAAGAAUGUCCCUAUGGAUUGUAAACUGCUUUUGCAGGGGAAUAAAGUGCAUCACGUGUGAUGUUUUGUAUGUACUCUGCGAAUAAGGAUCGGCUAACUCCGUGCCAGCCGCCGC
rnacentral:rRNA from 1 species